AAAGAGACCAUUACUACACAGCAUAAAGAUGGGGGGGGUCCUCUCGACCGGUUGGGGCUACGUUGCUGAUGUAGCAACAACUGUCUGGCUUUUUGUCUUGCCUUACCUCCAAACUGUCUAUGAAAAGGGAAUCUACCCAGCAUGGAAUUUCGUCUCCAGCAGUU
rnacentral:ribozyme from 1 species